UAAAUACUCCUUCCGUUCGGAAUUACUCGUCUAAAAAAUGAAUGUAUCUAGAUGUAUUUUAGUUGUAGAUACACCUAUUUUUGUGACAAAUAAUUCCGAACGGAGGGAGUAUAAA
rfam:Triticum aestivum genome assembly, contig: Triticum_aestivum_CS42_TGACv1_scaffold_224461_3B